GGGGAGUUUAACGAUAAGAAACCUUCUUACUCUUCAACUAUAACUAGAAAUCAUAUUUUUCAUCUCUACUUUUCUCCAUUAACUUAAACAAGUAAAGAGGAAACCUUAAUGUAUUUCUAAAACCUUAUCUUAGAAAACAGACUAGCCCUCUCGAGCCCGUGACCCGGGUUCAAAUCCCGGCCGCGGCACCA
rnacentral:tRNA from 1 species